rnacentral:rRNA from 1 species
UACGUAGGUGGCAAGCGUUAUCCGGAUUUAUUGGGCGUAAAGGGAACGCAGGCGGUCUUUUAAGUCUGAUGUGAAAGCCUUCGGCUUAACCGGAGUAGUGCAUUGGAAACUGGGAGACUUGAGUGCAGAAGAGGAGAGUGGAACUCCAUGUGUAGCGGUGAAAUGCGUAGAUAUAAGGAAGAACACCAGUGGCGAAGGCGGAUGACUGGACGGCAACUGACGGUGAGGCGCGAAAGCGUGGGGAGCAAACAGG